GAAUAGGAUCAGGCGAUUGAGCUGGAUUUGGACCGGUAGGAACUUCUCUUUUGAUUUCUCGAAUGGAAUUGUAAUGAUAAGAUUUGUCCAUGCUAGAAGGUGGAUCAGGUGAUUGAGCUGGAUUUGGACCGGUAGGAACUUCUCUUUUGAUUUCUCGAAUGGAAUUGUAAUGAUAAGAUUUGUCCAUGCUAGAAGGUGGAUCAGGUGAUUGAGCUGGAUUUGGACCGGUAGGAACUUUUCUUUUGAUUUCUCGAAUGGAAUUGUAAUGAUAAGAUUUUCCCAUGCUAGAAGGUGGACCAGGUGAUUGAGUUGGAUUUGGACUUGUAGGUACUUCUCUUUUGAUUCCUCCGACGAAGUUGUAAUCAUAAGAUUUGUCCAUGUUAAGAACUGGAUCAGGUGAUUGAGAUGGAUUUGGACCAGUAUAUACUUCUCUUUUGAUUUCUCUAAUAAAGUUGUAAUCAUAAGAUUUUUCCACACUAGAAGAUGGAUCAGGUGAUUGCGAUGGAUUUGGACCAGGAGGUACUUCUCUUUUGAUUCCUAUAACGAAGUUGUAAUCAUAAGAUUUUUUCAUGCUAGAAGGUGGAUCUGGUGAUUGAGCUGGAUUUGGACCAGUAGGUACUUUUCUUUUGAUUUCUCUAACGAUGUAGUAAUCAUAAGAUUUGUCCAUGCUAAGAAAUGGAUAAGGUGGUUGAGCUAGAUUUGGACCAGUGGGUA
rnacentral:lncRNA from 1 species